GGGGCGGGCUGCGGCGCGAAGCGUGGGGCUCAGUUAAAUGUGCGGAGGAGGCGGGUCUGAGAGAAUAGUUCUAUUUUAGAAUGCCGAAAAUGAACGGGGAAAAAAAAGAGAAGGCAGAAAAAAGAAAAAAGCUAAAGCAACAUGUGGCCCAGAAGGGAGAGCUGGAAUUGGAAACUGAACCAAAGAAAAAGAAACAAAAUCUGCAGACACUGAACUUCUCCCUGACGUGAGGUGAAAGAGAUCAGCUGCACACAUGGAGACAACCUGAAAUGUGUGUACGAAUAUCAGAGAUGUGCUUGGAGGGAAUUGCAAGGAGCAUGGAGCCUGAGCUUUUCUGUAAACAAAAGUAGAGAUUUUACUUGUGGACAUGACUGGAGGACAUCAUGAUUCCUCCAGAUAUUACUUUUACAGCAGAAAUUAUCAUGAAAAAUAAUUACUUAAUAUCUUAUUCAAGGGUAAAACUACUACCUAAACUAGCUCUGCUUAUUUAAGUAGUAGAUAAAGAUUGUUUUCCCAUAUCAGUUCUUAUAGUGUACUUGUUCUUUCCUAUUAAAGCACACCUAUUCCUACAGCAUUUCCCAUUUACCACUAGCGUCCUUACAGGAAUAAUCAGUUAGGAAGGGUCUAAUACAAGACCACGUAAAAAAAUCUUAAAAUCUUGUAAACUCAAUCUAGUUUUUGUUCAGUGGUGACCGAAGGAAAAAAAGUUCUUUUAAAUAAAUUUGUUCUCUUUCUAAAUAGAUAACUAGCCAAAUGCAUUUCAAAUAUUUGUUCAACUGAUCAAAUAUUAGUUUAGUUUAAGUUUAGAAAACAAAUUAACUUAAUGUUUGAAGAAUAAGAUGUUUUGUACCUGAACACUUUUCUGUGUCAUUACUUCUGUGCCAA